UACGUAGGGUGCAAGCGUUGUCCGGAAUUAUUGGGCGUAAAGAGCUCGUAGGCGGUCUGUCGCGUCGGAUGUGAAAAUCCAGGGCUUAACCCUGGGCCUGCAUUCGAUACGGGCAGACUAGAGUUCGGUAGGGGAGACUGGAAUUCCUGGUGUAGCGGUGAAAUGCGCAGAUAUCAGGAGGAACACCGGUGGCGAAGGCGGUUCUCUGGGCCGUCCCUGACGCUGAGGCGCGAAAGCGUGGGGAGCGAACGGG
rnacentral:rRNA from 1 species